GGGCCCGUAGCUCAAUCAGGUCAGAGCAGCGGACUCAUAAUCCGUUGGUUGCAGGUUCGAGUCCUGCCGGGCCCACCA
rnacentral:tRNA from 1 species